CCUGCUGAGCUUCCGGACCAGAAGCAGCUGCACUACACGGAGGAGCUACUGCGACACGUGGCCCCCGGGCUGCAGCUGGAGCUUCGGGGGCCGCAGCUGUGGGCACUGGCGCAUGGACAAGUGCAAGGUAUACUGGGAGGUAGGCGGCCCCCCAGGCUCCGCCAGCCCCUCCACCUCAGCCUGUCUGCUGCCUCGCAACUUCGACACCCCAUCUUCGACUUCAGAGUCUUCUUUCAAGAGCUGGUGGAAUUCUGGGCACGGCGCCGCUGCAGCUCCCCACGCUGCACCAUCUACCUGGGCUUUGGCCAGGACUUGUCAGCUGGGAGACCCAAGGAGAAGAGCCUGGUCCUGGUGAAGCUGGAGCCCUGGCUGUGCCGAGUGUACCUGGAGGGCACGCAGCGCGAGGGGGUGUCUUCCCUGGACAGCAGCAGCCUCAGACUCUGCCUGUCCAGAGCCAACAGCCUCUACGAUGUCAUCGAGGGCUUCCUUAUGGAGCUGGAGCAGCCUGCCUAGAGCUGGCCGUGGCCACCCAGUCUAAUAAAAAGAGCCCCAGAACA